UCUACAAUGAAAUCAGAAGUCUUGCACAGUUGAAGAUCCCAAUUAACAUACAAGUUUAUGUCAAUAGAGAAAAUACCAAUCCUUACACACCAACUCACUCUAUGGACCCAGUAUUGGUAUAAUCACUACACAUUUCAAAGUUUUCUGUUUAAUCAAAUUUACUAGAUAUUUACCACAUUCCCACCUUGACUCUUAAAGGAGUUGAUAUUUCUCUCAAAAAAGUCCUCAUACUUUUGAAGUGAUGUGUUAUUAUUCGAGCUUUGCAAAGUUUUUACUCCUUUGAGAGUUUUUAAUUUUGUAUUCCAAGACUUCAGUCUUGAAAUUGAUCCUCCAGGUUCUGGAUGUGAGUUCUCCCCCAGGAACAUAUGAGGAGUAACCAUCACAUAUGGAAAAUGAAGAGCUGAAUUUCAAAAAUUAAGAUUAAUUUAAAUGGAAUUUGAUUUGGACGAAUAUUUUGCCUAAAAUAUAUUUGGUUUGCUUGGCAAAAGCAAAGCCCAGGGAAGGCUGCAGGAGUGGCUUCUGGGACAAGAUGCCAGAAGUUUUCCCCAUGUCCAGCAGAGCCAACGCCAGCCAGCUCCAAGACAGACCCACUGCUGGCCAAGCCCAAGCCCAACAGUGACGGUGACGGUACUCCUGUGAUUUAAAAUGGAGAAAAAACUGCUGAGCAAGAGGAGGUGGACGAGAUGAACUGAUAAUAUGAGAGAAACAGCCCUGCAGACCCAUGGAGGGAGAAGUGUAUGCUGGAGCAGGUUUGCUGGCAGGUGACCCUUGGAAGGACCCACACUGGAGCAGCCUGCUGAUGUACUCCACCCUGUGGAAAAGACCCACGCUGGAGAAGUUUGUCUUCACAAACUUAAAACCUAGCGUUAAACUAAUAAAACUAUAGCCUGUAAGAAAGACCCACAUUAGAAAAGUUCAUGGACAACUGACUCCCAUGGGAUGGACUCUGUGCUGGAGCAGGGGAAGAGUGUGAGGAAGAAAGUGGCAGAGACAGUAUGUAAUGAAUGCCCAAAUGUGUAUAAUAAGGCAUUGACAAAACCUUAUGAAAUAUUGUUUUAUUGAUUCUUCUCAUAAAAAUCUGCCUUGUUAAAGGAAAAAAAAAACCAGCAAAUCAGUCUUCAGACUUUUCUACAUUUGAAGACUAAGUGACACGUUAUUGAAAUACUUGUUUUACAACAGAUACUUCAUUUUAACAUAGCUAUGUUCACAUGAAUAAAAAAAGUAACACUGAAGUAUGUACUAAAGUAUUAUAGAGUCUUUCAGAGUAUUUCUUUCAAUGAAUUUCCAAGUAUGGCCCAGUUCUGUUUUUUUGUAUAGUACAAAACCUUUUAUCAUCAAUAAUUUCCAUUAUGUUCUAAUCCUACAAAACAUCUUUGUGCUCUUCUAAAGCUCAUAAACUCCAACAUUGCACAACAGUCUCAGUUUGAAUACUAACAUUUUUGAGAGGAUUCUGUAUGUGAUUGGGAGCCAGUUGGCCAUAGUUUUAAUGUUGGCUGUGUCUACUAAAAAUAAGUUUUUAAUAAGCCAUAAGAAGUGAUAAUGAUGUCCUGAAGGCUUCCUUAGGCAAACAGGUCUCCCUCUAGAGACUUUCAAAAGCACCAACUUGUCUCCAGCUUCUACGUGUAGAACAUGUAUUUAGAAGGAUUGUUUCCUUAUGCCUCUGAAAUCUUCUACAGGAUAUGUGUCUGUCAAGUCAGACUAUCCUUUUUGCAAAUAAUGUAACUUCUAAAAGCUAAAUUUUCUUCAGAAGAAAAAAAUGCUGUAACCUACAUAUUGAAAGUUUAUUUUUAAAAGCUUUCUUCUAUCACAGCAAGUUUUAUACUGUUCCAAAAAUUGCAGAACUUUUGAAGAACUCUCACUUGAAAGAUGCCAUGGAAAUCAGUCUUCUUGUCAAUUAACGGUAAUCACCAUAAUAGCUAUUUAUCUGUACCUAUCCUUACAGUAUGUUGUUAUUUUCUGGACAGAGAUGCUAUUCUUAUGUGUGAUGCAAAAUGAAUGCCCCAAAAAGCAUGACAAAACAUGUCUGUAAUGCACCUUAACAAAUAAAUGUGUGCUAGUAAUUGCAAGAUCUGUCAAAGGGAAAAGAAGAGCUUUGAGAGAGAUAUUUCAUUUAAACUAGGUGCCUAGGGUAAGUCACAUGUUUAAAAUUGAGAAAAUAAAUUCUUAUUACAUUAGAAAAUAGCUAAACAGCAGACAUAUGCAAGUGCACUAAAUCUAGAUAAAUGAGGACAGCAGUAUCUCCUUCUUCUUGUAGUAGUCUGGAAAUCUUUUAACAACCAUAAUAAUUCUACUGUACCUUCAUUUAAUGGAGCAAGGAAAUGAGAGAUAUUAAUUACCAUAAACAAGCACAUAAAUGUUUACAGAAAGUAGCUGGCAAAACAAAAGGAAUUACCUUGGAAAAACAAUUCAAGCAACUUGGAAAUGCAAAGCUGUCAAGCCUAAUUAGUGUAAAAUUGAGAAGCCUGCUUCCCCUACAGGAUACUAAAGUAUUUCUGCUUGGAAAUAAUGAAAGGGUCAUGCAACUGUGGCAUUAUGCAGGACACCAAACCUUGAAGGCAGAAAUAUGAUAUGCCAUAUUUUGUCCAACAUAACGCUUCAAUGCAGAGACCAAAGGGUCCUCUAGGGACCUGGAAUGCACCUGAGAAUUUUAGGACUGAUACCUGACACAGUCAACAUUUAUCUCACAGCCCCGUAAGAAGUACACCAUUAUAGAUUAUGUCUAAAGUGCACUUUCACAAUCUGUUCUUUGUUAUUGAAUGGUCUGGGUUUUUUUCUGAGGUAAUUUAUGGAAAAUUAGCACAAAAUGAGAGUAAAGUUCUAGUGAAGGACUAUUAAACAGAUAAUUAACUUGAAUAUGGUUAUUGAUAAAAGAAAAAAAGGUCAUUCAGCAAAUAAAGGUCACAUGAAGGAAUCAACCUAAGUCACUGUGCAAUGGUAAGAGUGAAGUGCUAUUUCAGCAAAUUCACUGACAUGAGUCACCUGAUAAAUUUUUUCUUGUUUAUUCUAAAGAAUUAAAUCCCAUAUUGUGAAAAAGCUGUCCUCUGUUGUCCAAGUGCACCCAGAGUCAGCAACAUAUUGGUGGAUUAUUAAUAAAUCACUGUAAGUGCCCAAGUCAUCUCUGUGGCUUGGGAGUCAUUUUGUCUUCCUAAUUUACCUAAAUGUGGAUGAAUGUUUCAAACUAGGACUCAGUGAUGUGCAUACAGCUGUCAUGGUUUUAAAGCAGUAACUAAAAAAUUA